rnacentral:misc_RNA from 1 species
UCAAAGCAUCAAGCUUGGCUUGUCGUUGGGCCUUUUAUCACCCGGUGGUAGGUCUCAAAGAUAAUGACCGGUGUCACAUAGACUCCUGUGCGACGAGCUUAUAACAGCAAUGCAUUUGGUAGUCAUAUGGCCUGGUUAUCAUGUCUUUAUUUCUCAA